rnacentral:rRNA from 1 species
UAGGGAAUCUUCCGCAAUGGACGCAAGUCUGAAGGAGCAACGCCGCGUGAGUGAAGAAGGAUUUCGGUUCGUAAAACUCUGUUGUUAGAGAAGAACAGCGCAUAGAGUAACUGUUAUGCGUGUGACGGUAUCUAACCAGAAAGCCACGGCUAACUACGUGCCAGCAGCCGCGGUAAUACGUAGGUGGCAAGCGUUGUCCGGAUUUAUUGGGCGUAAAGCGAGUGCAGGCGGUCAAUUAAGUCUGAUGUGAAAGCCCCCGGCUCAACCGGGGAGAGGCAUUGGAAACUGGUUGACUUGGGGGCAGAAGAGGAGAGUGGAAUUCCAUGUGUAGCGGUGAAAUGCGUAGAUAUAUGGAGGAACACCAGUGGCGAAGGCGACUCUCUGGUCUGUAACUGACGCUGAGGCUCGAAAGCGUGGGUAGCAAACAGG